UGGGGAAUUUUGGACAAUGGACGCAAGUCUGAUCCAGCCAUGCCGCGUGCGGGAAGAAGGCCUUCGGGUUGUAAACCGCUUUUGUCAGGGAAGAAACGAGUUUCUCUAAUACAGAGACUUAAUGACGGUACCUGAAGAAUAAGCACCGGCUAACUACGUGCCAGCAGCCGCGGUAAUACGUAGGGUGCAAGCGUUAAUCGGAAUUACUGGGCGUAAAGCGUGCGCAGGCGGUUAUAUAAGACAGAUGUGAAAUCCCCGGGCUCAACCUGGGACCUGCCUUUGUGACUGCAUAGCUAGAGUACGGUAGAGGGGGAUGGAAUUCCGCGUGUAGCAGUGAAAUGCGUAGAUAUGCGGAGGAACACCGAUGGCGAAGGCAAUCCCCUGGACCUGUACUGACGCUCAUGCACGAAAGCGUGGGGAGCAAACA
rnacentral:rRNA from 1 species